CCUACGGGGUGCAGCAGUGGGGAAUAUUGGACAAUGGGCGAAAGCCUGAUCCAGCCAUGCCGCGUGUGUGAAGAAGGCCUUCGGGUUGUAAAGCACUUUCAGUGGGGAAGAAAGCCUUGGGGCUAAUACCCUCGAGGAAGGACAUCACCCACAGAAGAAGCACCGGCUAACUCCGUGCCAGCAGCCGCGGUAAUACGGAGGGUGCGAGCGUUAAUCGGAAUUACUGGGCGUAAAGCGCGCGUAGGCGGUCUGAUAAGCCGGUUGUGAAAGCCCCGGGCUCAACCUGGGAACGGCAUCCGGAACUGUCAGGCUAGAGUGCAGGAGAGGAAGGUAGAAUUCCCGGUGUAGCGGUGAACUGCGUAGAGAUCGGGAGGAAUACCAGUGGCGAAGGCGGCCUUCUGGACUGACACUGACGCUGAGGUGCGAAAGCGUGGGUAGCAAACAGGAUUAGAUACCCCGGUAGUC
rnacentral:rRNA from 1 species